GCCCAGGGAAACCUGGAUUAAUACCGGAUGAGACGGGACCUGCGAUGGCGGGAGUCCGGGAAAGGCGCUACGGCGCCGGCCGGGGGAUGAGUCUGCCGUCCCAUUAGCUAGACGGCGGGGUAACGGCCCACCGUGGCGACGAUGGUAGCCGGCCUGAGAGGGUGGACGGCCACAUUGGAACUGAGACACGGUCCAGACUCCUACGGGAGGCAGCAGCUAAGAAUCUUCCGCAAUGGGACGAAAGCCUGACGGAGCGGAACCGCCGCGUGAACGAAGAAGGCCGUGAGGUUGUAAAGUUCUUUUCGGGAGGGGGAACAACCGUGGCAGGGAAUGGCCGCGGGAUGACGUGAAUCCCGGAAUAAGCCCCGGCUAACUACGUGCCAGCCGCCGC
rnacentral:rRNA from 1 species